rnacentral:rRNA from 1 species
CCCUUAGAUGUUCUGGGCCGCACGCGCGCUACACUGACAGAGCCAGCGAGUUCUUUUCCUUGGCCGGAAGGUCUGGGUAAUCUUGUGAAACUCUGUCGUGCUGGGGAUAGAGCAUUGCAAUUAUUGCUCUUCAACGAGGAAUUCCUAGUAAGCGUGAGUCAUCAGCUCGCGUUGAUUACGUCCCUGCCCUUUGUACACACCGCCCGUCGCUACUACCGAUUGAAUGGCUUAGUGAGGUCUUGGGAUUGGCUUCGGGGAGCCGGCAACGGCACCCUGUCGCUGAGAACUUGAUCAAACUUGGUCAUUUAGAGGAAGUAAAAGUCGUANCA